GAUAUUUGGCAACUUGGAAUCAGGCAUUGGAGACCUGUCUUUCGCAGCUAGACCACUUCUUUUCUCUUCCUCCCGACGGCCGGCAUUGGCGACGGAGACCAUUGACGACGGCAGCAGGUUCCGCCAACCAUAGCAACAACUCGGCAAUGUCGCAACGAGAUCGACGAGAUUAGUCUCCUGAAGGUAUUCUUAUCGGCAUCUUCGCUCCUCUGCUUGCUCGCUGAAUCUCGCCGCCGUGCACCUCUCCUCCACCCUGCUCUCUCUCUCUCUCUAUCUCUAACAAUGUGUGUGUCUCUUUCUCUCUCGCUGUUUGACUGACUGUGUGUCCGUUUCUCUCUCCCUCAUUCUGACGGCCGCCAUUGCCGACGUAUGGAAGCUCCAAACCUAGCUGGUGAACAGACGAAAAUGCCAGAACCAGAUCCGUAGGAAAAAAACCACAAAAAUCUUAAACCCUACCGAGCUUGACGGAAGUUCGUUGGUUCUAUAUGGGAAUUAUUCGAACAGAUCCAGAUCUGCAUCUCAGAGAGAACAAGUAUCGAAUGGAUUCAUAGGUUAUACAUCUCUUUUACAAAGUUGUUUAUUUGGUGAGAAAAAAGCUCAGCUCCCUCAGGAUUCAACAGGCUUUUCAAACUUGACAUCACUGAGCAUUAAGGAAUGUGCUGCUGUUACUGCUGAGAAAUAUAGGCUGAAAAUAAUGUCUAUAUUUUCACUGAUUCACUUUUGAAUUUCAGAACUUUUUCAAAGUUGUCAGCACUUCAAAUCAUUUUCAGACCAGAACUGUUGAUCACUGUUUCAGCUGAUUUUUCAGUUAAAAUUUUAGCAGUUCUAGUUA